rnacentral:pre_miRNA from 1 species
AUACUACUCCCUCUGUCAAGAAUUACUUGUCGCGAAAAUGAAUACAUACAUCGAUUUUUAUCCAUUUCUACGACAAGUAAUUCUGGACGGAGGGAGUAUCUC